AUGAACGCUGGCGGCGUGCCUAAUACAUGCCAGUCGAGCGAACGGACGAGAAGCUUGCUUCUCUGAUGUUAGCGGCGGACGGGUGAGUAACACGUGGAUAACCUACCUAUAAGACUGGGAUAACUUCGGGAAACCGGAGCUAAUACCGGAUAAUAUUUUGAACCGCAUGGUUCAAAAGUGAAAGACGGUCUUGCUGUCGCUUAUAGAUGGAUCCGCGCUGCAUUAGCUAGUUGGUAAGGUAACGGCUUACCAAGGCAACGAUGCAUAGCCGACCUGAGAGGGUGAUCGGCCACACUGGAACUGAGACACGGUCCAGACUCCUACGGGAGGCAGCAGUAGGGAAUCUUCCGCAAUGGGCGAAAGCCUGACGGAGCAACGCCGCGUGAGUGAUGAAGGUCUUCGGAUCGUAAAACUCUGUUAUUAGGGAAGAACAUAUGUGUAAGUAACUGUGCACAUCUUGACGGUACCUAAUCAGAAAGCCACGGCUAACUACGUG
rnacentral:rRNA from 1 species